rnacentral:rRNA from 1 species
UACAGAGGGGGCUAGCGUUAUUCGGAAUUAUUGGGCGUAAAGGGCGCGUAGGCGGCCAUGCGUGUCUUCCGUGAAAUCCCUCGGCUUAACCGAGGAACUGCCGUCCAAACUGCCUUGCUUGAGACCGGGAGAGGUGAGUGGAAUUCCCAGUGUAGCGGUGAAAUGCGUAGAUAUUGGGAGGAACACCAGUGGCGAAGGCGGCUCACUGGACCGGUACUGACGCUGAUGCGCGAAAGCGUGGGGAGCAAACGGG